rnacentral:rRNA from 2 species
AAUCCAUAGGUUAAUGAGGCGAACCGGGGGAACUGAAACAUCUAAGUACCCCGAGGAAAAGAAAUCAACCGAGAUUCCCCCAGUAGCGGCGAGCGAACGGGGAGGAGCCCAGAGCCUGAAUCAGCAUGUGUGUUAGUGGAAGCGUCUGGAAAGGCGCGCGAUACAGGGUGACAGCCCCGUACACAAAAGCGCAUGUGCUGUGAGCUCGAUGAGUAGGGCGGGACACGUGGUAUCCUGUCUGAAUAUGGGGGGACCAUCCUCCAAGGCUAAAUACUCCUGACUGACCGAUAGUGAACCAGUACCGUGAGGGAAAGGCGAAAAGAACCCCGGCGAGGGGAGUGAAAAAGAACCUGAAAC